GUCUCUGGAGAAGCUCAUGCAGAUGAGUGCCGAAGGUGCAAGGAAGCGUCCGCUUCCGAAUCUCUCAGGCAAAAGGACGGAGUU
rnacentral:ncRNA from 1 species